AGAAAGAGAAACGCCUAAGAUUUUU
rnacentral:siRNA from 1 species